rfam:Bacillus cereus Rock3-44 chromosome, whole genome shotgun sequence.
CUCUUAUCAAGAGAGGUGGAGGGACUGAGCCCUGUGAAACCCGGCAACCGUCAACUUUUAUGUUGAAAUGGUGCCAAUUCCUGCAAAGCAAAUGCUUUGAGAGAUGAGAG